rnacentral:rRNA from 1 species
GACAUACAAGUAGUAGGGAGAGGAAACUGGACCGACCCUUCGGGGAGCUUGUACAGGUGCUGCAUGGCUGUCGUCAGCUCGUGUCGUGAGAUGUCGGUUAAGUCCGCUAACGAGCGCAACCCUCGCUGUGUGUUACAAGUGUCACACGGGAACUGCCGGUCAUAAACCGGAGGAAGGUGGGGAUGACGUCAAGUCAGCAUGGCCUUUAUAUCCUGGGCUACACACACGCUACAAUGGGAAGGGACAAUAGGUUGCGAAGCCGCGAGGCGGAGCCAAUCCAGCAAACUUCCCUCAGUUCAGAUUGCAGGCUGCAACUCGCCUGCAUGAAGUUGGAGUUGCUAGUAAACGCAGGUCAGCCAUACUGCGUUGAAUACGUUCCCGGGGCUU